GGAUUGUGGCUCAAUGGUAGAGCGCUCGCCUAUCGUGGGCGGGACCUGGGUUCCAUCCUCAGCACCA
rnacentral:tRNA from 1 species